ACGUAUCUUGGAUGGCAAAGCAAGGUAAACAGUGUGUACAUCAGUUUCUCCUUCAUUUGUACAUCAGAUUCUGUUUGUUUUUAAUUGAUGAAAUGGAAAGAGACAUGUUUUUGUAAUUCGCUUUUCUUGCUUCUUCAUUUAAACAACUGAGGAGUGACAUACGUGGUCCAAACCAAAGUAAAAAUGUCAAUGGAAAGUGAUGAGGAUGAUAUUAUUGAUGAGUUAAUGAAUAGAUUGGAAGCUGAAGAUACAAUUCGAAUAAUUCGGAAAAGUGGUCCAAGAAAUCAAGAGGAUACCGUCAUUUCACAGGAGGAUGACAUCAUUUCACAGGAAGAUAACAUCAUUUCACAUGAGAACAUAU